rnacentral:rRNA from 1 species
AGUGAACGCUGGCGGUAGGCCUAACACAUGCAAGUCGAACGGCAGCACAGUAAGAGCCUGCUCUUACGGGUGGCGAGUGGCGGACGGGUGAGGAAUACAUCGGAAUCUACUUUUUCGUGGGGGAUAACGUAGGGAAACUUACGCUAAUACUGCAUACGACCUACGGGUGAAAGCAGGGGAUCUUCGGACCUUGCGCGAUUGAAUGAGCCGAUGUCGGAUUAGCUAGUUGGCGGGGUAAAGGCCCACCAAGGCGACGAUCCGUAGCUGGUCUGAGAGGAUGAUCAGACACACUGGAACUGAGACACGGUUCAGACUCCUACGGGAGGCAGCAGUGUGGAAUAUUGGACAAUGGGCGCAAGCCUGAUCCAGCCAUACCGCGUGGGUGAAGAAGGCCUUCGGGUUGUAAAGCCCUUUUGUUGGGAAAGAAGAGCAGCAGGUUAAUACCCCGCUGUUCUGACGGUACCCAAAGAAUAAGCACCGGCUAACUUCGUG